GUCCCGAACCCAAAUUCACCCGUUUACUAGUCAUUUGGACGGUAAACGACCUUUACUUUCACUUUUACUUUCGGUUUAGUACUUUUAGUGGCCCUAAAAAUUGACUUUUUGUUCGGGUCAAAAUUUGAGAAAAUGUUCUUCAUGAAAGUUGUAGGGGACGUUAAACCGAGCGCGUACAUAUGUGGUACGUAAAAAUCGGAGCUCGUAUGCAAAAGUUAUAAGCGAAAAUGUGAAAGUUACUGUUCACGGUAAGUAGUAUAUAUUUGAAUUUUUCACUGUGGCCGGUAAGUUUUCAUUUUCUUCUUCUCUCUCUCCUUUCUCCCGCAUUUUUUCUCUCUCCUCGGCACUCUCUGCAACUCCGGCCACCUCACGAUUCCGGCCACCUGGGGACGAACGAGUGGCACCGUUGGACUCCUCUACUCCUACCCAACCUCCCCACGGCGGUAACUCACGGCGGCUUGGCCGGAAAACGAAGCAUCGGGUCCUUGAAGUUUCACUGUAGCAAAUUGGUCAACGCCGGUUUCUCCCGAUUCCGGCCACCUCCGGCGACGAACCAUAAUCAUUUGGAAGCGCCUUGCGAUGUAGAUGAUGCUCCCCAAAUAUUUUGCAGCGAUUUGAAGCGUGGAGGAAGAAUUGAAGGGCAAUGUUGCGAGCUACGGCUAGAUGAAGGGACUCGUUUGCGUGGUCGCCAACUAGUACUUUUGCAGGCGCUAUUAGUUGAGGUCGGGCAUACAUGGUUCGAGGCAUAGUUGAUGAAUAGCUUCCGCACUUCUUUGUUUGGCUCUGAUCUAUCGUAGCUUACUGUUUUGGGUAGUCCAUUUUAGGGGUGACUCGACCAGUUCUCGGUAGGGUUAUCUCUAAGGUGGGCCCCGCAGGGCCA